rnacentral:rRNA from 1 species
GAUGAACGCUCGCGGCAGGCCUAACACAUGCAAGUCGAGGGAGGAGCUUUCGGGCUUCGACCGGCGUACGGGUGCGUAACGCGUAUACAAUCUGCCUUUCACAUAGGGAUAGCCCGAAGAGAUUUGGAUUAAUACCUAAUGGUAUAUAGAGGUGGCAUCACCUUUAUAUUAAAGCUGAGGCGGUGAAAGAUGAGUAUGCGUUCUAUUAGCUAGUUGGAGAGGUAACGGCUCCCCAAGGCGACGAUAGAUAGGGGUUCUGAGAGGGAUAUCCCCCACACUGGUACUGGGAUACGGACCAGACUCCUACGGGAGGCAGCAGUGAGGAAUAUUGGACAAUGGUCGGAAGAAUGAUCCAGCCAUGCCGCGUGCAGGAAGACGGCCUUAUGGGUGGUAAACUGCUUUUGCAGGGGAAGAAUAAGGACUACGCGUAGUUUGAUGACGGUACUCUGCGAAUAAGCAUCGGCUAACUCCGUG